GCAUCCAUAGUUAAACGGAUAUAAUAAGCCCCUCCUAAGGGCUAGUUCCGGGUUCGAUUCCCGGUGGGUGUA
rnacentral:tRNA from 1 species